rnacentral:piRNA from 1 species
UCUUAUUGUAGGGCUGUACAA